UGGGAACAUGCUAUCUUAUGGUUGAAGGUC
rnacentral:piRNA from 1 species